GGAAUUUUGCCCAAUGGACGAAAGUCUGAGGCAGCAACUCCUCGUUCGGGACGAAGGCUCUCGGGUCGUACACCUCUUUUCUCAGGGAAGAUCCAAGACGGUACCUGCGGAAGCAGCCACGGCUAACUACGUGCCAGCAGCCGCGGUAAUACGUAGGUGGCAAGCGUUGUCCGGAUUUACUGGGCGUAACGAGCGCGCAGGCGGCUGGUCAAGUCCGAUGUGAAAUCUCCCGGCUUAACUGGGAAACUGCAUCGGAAACUGAUCGGCUUGAAGGUGGGAGAGGGUAGUGGAAUUCCCGGUGUAGUGGUGAAAUGCGUAGAUAUCGGGAGGAACACCAGUGGCGAAGGCGACUACCUGGCCCACUCUUGACGCUGAGGCGCGAAAGCUAGGGGAGCGAAC
rnacentral:rRNA from 1 species